rnacentral:misc_RNA from 1 species
AACUUUCGACAAUGGAUCUCUAGGCUCUCGCAACGAUGAAGAACGCAGCGAAAUGCGAUAAGUAAUGUGAAUUGCAGAAUUCCGUGAAUCAUUAAAUCUUUGAACGCACAUUGCGCCUUUUGGUAUUCCUCAAGGCAUGCCUGUUCGAGAAUCAGUUUAACCAUCAAACCUAUUAUGGAAACAUGAUAUGGUUUGGACUUGGGACUUCUCGAUAGAGAGACCCUAAUUUGAUUUGUUGCCUGUUAUCAAGUUUGAUAUAUAUAGGGCAUGACCAAUGGACGAAAGUUCUUAAUUGUGUUACUAGUGUAUUAAGCUUUUUAAUGAGUACAGAAAAUAUUACAAAGAGCUAAACCUCUUUAAGACUUGAUCUCGAAUCAGACAAGACUACCCGCUGAACUUAAGCAUAUCAAUAAGCGGAGGCU